UACGAGGGGUGCGAGCGUUAUUCGGAUUUAUUGGGCGUAAAGGGUGCGUAGACGGUUUGUUAAGUCUGUUGUUAAAUCCUCCGACCUAAUCGGAGAUCGGCAGUGGAAACUGGCAAUCUAGAGUGUGAAAGAGAGAAGUGGAAUUCCCGGAGUAGCGGUAAAAAUGCACAGAUCUCGGGAGGAACACCAAUGGCGAAGGCAGCUUCUUGGUUCACAACUGACGUUGAGGCACGAAAGCGUGGGGGAGCAAACAGG
rnacentral:rRNA from 1 species